AUGCGCAAAUCGUUUUCCUAAUAGACAUCUAUCAGAUAAGAAAAUAUUUCAAGAAUUACAUGAACGUCUACGAGAUACAGUGAAGAGAAUGAUGGCAACGAUAACCGAAGAUUAAUAAUAAUACAAAAUGUCGGACACAUUACAACGUGGAAAAUUUUACGAGAUCAACAAUUUUAUUCGUAUUAUGUCCAACGUGUUCAGGCAUUUAAAGAAGAUGAUUUUCCUUUAAGAUUUUCCUUUAAGUUAAGAGUUCAUUUAACUUAAGAGUUCAUUUUUGUAUCUCGUUCCUGCGGAAGUCUAUCGCUAAUCAAUAUUUUUUAUCUGCUGUAUUAUUUACUAAUAAAACUAUAUUCACUAGAAAUUAUUAAUUUUCAUAAUGUUUGUCAUCAUUGGACUGAAAAAAACCUAUUCAGUGUAAAUGUAUGGACAGGAAUAAUUGGCGAUCGGACCUGUUUUUAUUUUAUUUUUUUUUUUAUGAGAAAUUAACAGAUGAAUCUUACGUUAAUUUCUUGAAAAAUCAUUUGAACAAACUAUUAGAAGAAGUUUCACUUGAUAUUAUAUAUAACGUAUAGUUUAUAUAUGGUGCAUCGUCACAUUUUAACCAAGUUAUCAGAUAGUUCCUAAACGAACGAUUUCUUAACAAAUGGAUCCUGCGGGGGUUCUGCGGGAACUAUCGCCUGGUCUGCUCAUUCCCCAGAUUUAAAUCCGUUACAUUUUUACUUAUGGAGCCACUUAAAAAUAAUUGUUUAUUCAACACCCAUUGCCAAUGUUGAAAUACUUCGUGAACGCAUACAACAAGGUUGUCAACAGAUCCGACAUAUACCUGGAAUUUUUGAAAGAAUGAUACUUUGAAACACGACGACUACAAGCUUGUAGAGCGAAGAUGGCUGUUUCGAAUAUCUCUUGUAAAAAAAUUGCAAUGUCGAUUUUUUCAAUGCAUCGUGACGCACUUUGUUCCUUAUUGGGCCACCCGUUCUUGAUGG